GUGAUCCACCAGCCUCGGCCUCACAAAGUGCUGGGAUUACAGGUAUGAGCCACCACGCCCAGCCUGCAAACAUAUGUUGAACUCUUUGCACAGUGCCCUGCAUGAGAUAGAUGACAGCUCCUUCUUCCAUGUUGUUAAUUUGGUGUGAGUAUAUGUUAUAUGUAUGUAUAUGCAAGAUAAUAAUCUUCUUGUAACCACUGACAGGCCUUUUUGUGAAUGAUGAUGGAAAAAGCAAGAACCUUGUCCAGGUUCCUCUCCAGGGAGCAGGGGUGGGUUGUGAUUCUUGAUUUCAUUCCUUUAGAUAUGAAGAGUUUUCACACAGAGGCAGCACGAAUUUGUCUCUCUCCUAGAGGGUGGGGAGAGUUGCUGGGUGGAUAUAACUGCAUCACAGCCUUUCUGGGUAAACUGGCCACUCCCUACUGAUUUGUUAUCAUGCUAAAUGUGUCUCCUCCCUUCCUUUCUGGAGCUUUUGCAGCUGUUCCUGGAAGGAGACCCAGUUGAAAGGGGUUGUUAUGGACCAGGAACAGCUGGGAUCUUUAAUGAUCUGUGAGCAGCUUACAGCAAAGUUCCAACACCCUGAGUAUCAGUCCCCAAAUCCUUGGUCUUUGCAUUCCAACACAAAGUAAAAAGGAUUGAGCAGGGUUUUGGUUUUGGUUGCAAGUAACAGAAACCCAACGCUAAUUAAUAAACGGGAAAGUGUGUCAGUGGAAAUGUAAGUAAGAAGAGAUUUCAUUUACUGGCCAAUUCAAAAGAUGACAAGCUUUAGGCGUGGCUCAGUCCAGUGGCUCAUGAUGUCUUCAGGACUCAGUGUUUCUCUGUUGUCAUCUCUUAGUUCUAUUAUUUUUUCUGUGUUGGUUCAUUAUGAGGUUUCCUUUAGAGGGUGGCAGAGAAAGCCACUAGUUGCUUCAAGUCUUUAUUUUACCAGCUCCACAAGUCCGACGGAAAGAGAAAACUGCUUUCCCAAAGGGUGUAAGAGGAUGAAAGGCAUGUCAUCAGCUGAAUUGCAUCAGGUGUCCAUCUUGGAAUCAAUCACGGUGCCUCUUAUUAGCAAAGCCUGAGUCAUAGGUGAGUCUAUACUUGGAUGGGGUAGUAAGGAAAUCCCAUGUUGAUUGCAUGGAUGGAAAGUGGGGGUGUUGUGGUUUCAUAAUGGCUUAUUAGGGUUCAAUAAUCAGAACACCAAAUAAUCCAUGCUGGGAGGUAAAAAUUGCAGAUAUUUUACUUUAUGCCCCAAACUAGACUUCAAAUCUGUGCUGCUCUUCCAAUCAUGAAUCCGCAGAACAGAGGAUAGAAAGUUCAGGUCAAUUCAAAUUUGACAAACACUUUCCGAGCACUUACUAUGUGCCAAUAUCCGUGGGAGGCCCUGGGAAACCAAAGAUGAAUGAAACACAAACUCUGAUGUCAGAGACCUCACAGUCUGGUGUUUAAGACGAUAAUAGUCUGGAUUAGAUUCUGGUGUGAUGAGAUGGAUUGUCUCAUAAAAAACAGAGGGAAGGGAUUAUUUAACUCUGAUGGGUGGCUGGGUGCUGAGAAGACCCUCAGAGGGUGUAACCUUUGAGUCUUAAGGAGGAUUAAGUUUAAAGGGGAUUUUGUUGGAGGAUAAGCAUCAAGGAAAGCAUUCCAGGAAGAGAGACGGGCAUAUGCAAAGGUAUAGUGUUGUGACCUCUGAUUAAAUAUGGAUGAGACAGGACAGGGAAAAACACACUUGUUAGAUUGUGGCAAAUGCCCAUGUGAAGUGAUUAAGUGACUGAAAUUGGGCAGAGGUGGUGUGCUGGUAGAUUCUAAGGUGACCCCAGUGAUCCAUGCCUUGUAAAAUCUUCUCCCCUGUGAGUGCUCCUUGGUGAGCAGGUGAUGUUAUAUUGGGAGAUUGACUAUAAGAAGGGGAGACUAUCUGUGUGGUCCUGGCCUAAUGACAUGAAUCCUUUAAGAGCAGAGCUUUCUCCAGCUGGUAGAAAAAGGGGAAGUAUGAGACUUAAAGGUGGAGGUGGCCCCAUGGAAAAGACCUAAGGGUAGCCUGCGGGAACUGAGAGAAAACCCCAACUGGCAGCCAGCAAGAAAACAGGGACCUUAAUCUUACGACCACAAGGAACUGGACUCUGCUACCAGAAUGAGCUGCAAGGGAGAUUCUUCCUCAGAAGCUUCAGAUAAGAACUCCACCUGGCUGACCUUUGAUUUUGGUUUUGUGAGAACUUUGGCAGAUAACCCAGGCAUGUGUCAUUUCACAUCUGCAUAAAAAGACAUGCUGAAGGAUGUUCCUUGCAGAAUGGUUAUAGAGAAAAAUGGGAAUAACCACGAUAUAAAGUAACAGGAUUUCAACAGUGAAGGAGACCUGAGAAACCAUAAAAUCAAUCUCUCAAAUUGAAGUUGAAAAAAGCAAAUCAUCUCUCACACCCACCCUGAUUGAUCCAGAGCCAAUGGGUUCAUUUAAAACUCUCUUUCAUGAUGGCAAUGAAUAAAAGAGGAUCCUAGACCAUCAGAAGAUUUUAGCCUUGGAGCUCCCCACCGUCCUAACACACACAGAUAGAGCUGGCUCCGAACUCUGCUGCUUCCAUGGUCGUGGCUACCUACUACUCUGUUCCUACUUCAUCUUCACUGUGAUUUUUGUCCAUAUGUCAGACUGAAGCAGACUGCUUAGGGCCUUGGGUUGAGGGAGCUUAUAGAACCUUGGGAACCAGGAACCCUUUAGGACCCUGUGAACUACAAGUCUGCUAUUUUAGGAAGUGGAUAAAAUGGCAUUUUGACAGAUCUGGAGGGUCUUGGAUCUACCUUUCAACAUUGGCAUUACUGAUAUUAGAGUACCACCACUCACUAGCUGUGGAGAUGUAGGAAGAUUACUUAACCACUCAGAGCCUUGGUUUCCUCAUUUGUUAUGUGAAGAUGACAAUAUCAGAUGACAGUGAGAUCUGAGAUGAAUUUAACUGCCUUCAGUAGUGCUGGCCUGCUCCUGAGAGAGAGAUGAUUGAGAGGGAGGAAGUAGAGAGGAGGAAGAAGCCUUUACUCACACUCCUUGAGGAGUGAUUCAGGUGGACAGCCUGAAUUACGGGAUUUAUUGGCAGCAAGUAAGUAUUGUCUGAGUGGAUUACUGCAAAAUGCUUUAGCUGGGGAUGGCUUUGAAAACCACUCAUCAAUUACAGAUGGUACCCAGUAUAGCAGCAGGAGUACCCUUGCGGGCUUUUGUUAUCUCCGACCUCUUCCUUCAUGGGUGACCGUUCUAACCCAAAGACCUCAACUGUUCAUCAAAAACCUGCCACUCAGAACUGCAUAUCAAUUAUUAAACAAUGUCCCAUGCAGGACAGUGACUUUAAAUUAUCUUGGAAAUGAUAAAGACCAACAUUUGUCUUUGUUAACAUGCUGAGUGAUUCUGUGGUCUCUAGUCACAGGUGAAAGGAUCAGAUUUGAGAUUUCUAGACACCAGAAUCACAUUAGGGUUAAGCAAAACUCCAUCUUUUCCCAGAGAAAAUUUAGCCAGAAAUGUUGCUUAUUUGAGAUGAGAAGUAAGAUGAAGUGUUCUAACAUGGCGGAGCUUGAUAUGCAAAUGAGCCCAUCUAGGGACAGUAGGGAUUGGUAAUGUGGGUCUGUGGAUGCCUGGAAGGCUCACAGAAAGACUUCAGGAAUUCCUGAGUCUCUUCAAAGUGUAAGCAAAAUUUUGUGUGUAUUUUCUUAUUUGCAUGAUAUGGCUUGGCUGUGUCCCCACCCAAACCUUAUCUCGAAUUGUAACUCCCACAAUUCCCACAUGUCGUGGAAGGAUCCUGGUGGGAUUCAUUAUGGGGGCAGGUCUUUCCAGUGCUGUUCUCAUGAUAGUGAAUGAGUCUCACAAUAUCUGAUGGUUUUAAA
rnacentral:lncRNA from 1 species